ensembl:lncRNA
AUAUAGUUUUUAAUGGCUGCAUAAUUUCAGCUUAUGUGUCUAAUCAGGGCGCAACUGUGUGUUUGUUACAUCUGGUUUUGAUCUUGUUGGCUUAUGGCUAUAUUAUUAUGGCUUAACGCAGCAUAAAAUGCAGAGGUAGCACAUGUCAAGUUGAAUCCUAAAUACAGUACAAUAUCUCCAUUUGAUGUAAUCAUAUUUGUUUGACAAACUUCCGUAGCAUUGGAAUGGUGAACAGUGUUUUUACUGCCAUGUGCUGAUAUUUUAGUUUGAUUCUCUGUAUUUUAAUGCAGCACCUGUUUCAUGCGCACACGCUUCACCCUCUUUAAGCAGCAGAGCGGGACCCAGCAGCUCCGGAUCCCAAAUACGUCGUCGCCAUAAAACAUCAAGGAUUGCAUUUCCUUCAUCAUAAAUGAGUUUCAAUGAGCGGGUGAAAGCCUGUGUGGGGUCGGGGUGGUUCACUCGCAUGGGUGGAACAGAAACGUUCUCCCAGGAGGCCGCAGUGUGUGUCUGCCAUAAAGAAACUCCAGGAUCGGAUUUCACCAGAAACAAAAGACGAUAAAAAUUAAGCAUAAUUGCGUUUUUUUUUUAAACAGAUCAAAUGCACACUGUUUUUAUUCUGCUAUGAGAUAGAGCCCCCCCUCCCUCCAUACCCCGCCUUCCAAUGACAGAGGGAAACAUAACCUCAUCCAUCUCUCCGGAGAUGAAUGGUCUUCUCCGGGGCUGGAAACGUAAUAAAAGUGGCUCUCUAAUGGUGUGCAGUCGUAUUAGGGCCCGUUUAUAAAAGCCAUGAGGCCACCGUCAUGGCCGGCAGGGAAACGCAGCCCCGCUGCAGACGCGGAUCAGCUCCCCUGAUAACAUUAAGGCAAAGCUUCCUUUUGUGUGACGGCGAUCUGCUCUCCACCACCGUAACUGGGUUUGGCGUGAGGCAGACGCGCGGCGCGGCUUUGAAGUUCGCUUGGCCGAGGCCCCGGCUGACGUCGAGAGCCGCUUCAACCGCAGGCGCCGCUCGCCACGUGACGCCGUUACAGCUGCAUCCCCGAGGGGUUAAAGGUCGUGCAUGUAUUUUACUCAGUGAAAACAAUUGCCGGAAUAACUUGAGAACUUUGCUCAUGUUCAAUCUUUGCCCCUUGCAAGUGAAUAAAUAAAAACGGGCUUGUUACAGUAUCCUGAUUUAUUUUCAUGCUAGCAUGCUAACUUGCAAGUAGCAUCCUCACUAUGUUGCCAAGCAUUAAGCAUUUUAGCUUUAGCGGUUGGCGUAUUUAUUUAUUAAUUCAGUUUGCAUCAUUCGGGGGGAUUAUAUGCUUCUAUUUUACGUUUCACAUUGUGGGAGAGAGAUUGGCAUCAAACACGUAGCAAUAUUCUGGGCUCGAAGCGAGGAGCUUUGGGCUCGCGGUCGGCGCCUCACAUCCCGCGGACACAGGAGCGCGCCAGUUACCAUGGUAACAAAGUAAAACCGAGGUAUUCCUGUCAGCAUCUGAGUGGAGGUCAGGCAGAAACUGUUAUGGGGACCAAAUAUAGCGCGUCUGUGCAGAACGUCGCGCCAAUGUGGAAGGAUAUAUUUAAAUCUGGAUCAAAAUAUUAAAAGCAAAAGUCAUGUAGAUCAGAUGAAAUCUGUAAUUACUUUGUUAAUAAAGUGACCAGAAUGCAUCUGUGUACAGUGUUCAGACAAAAAAAACACCUGCUUCUUAAAGUCUGCUCGUGAAAGAGAAAUAGAUUCGCUGGGGUUAUAAAAUGUAAUUAUCUUCUGCCUGGAUUUAAAUGCAUUGAAUCAAACUGAAUGCUCAACUAGAUUAGAGGACAAUUUGAAUCUGAAGAAACAUGAACAUUCAUUUGGCCAAAUUGGUGCCUGUUUUCUUUCUGCAGAAACAUAAAAGCUUUUCAGAAACACGUAAAAUAUCUAUCUGUAUUUUGAAUAUUUUGAAUACAAAAUUAAUUUUAAAAAAUGAUUAAAAACAGUAAGUAAAGUAAAAGUAGAAUUGAAAUAAGAGUGGCUAUGGUCAUUUUGUCGAUCGUCGUAUUCACCAAAAGCCUCCUGAUCCUAAUCCCCCUAAUCAGCUGUGCGACCUAAUCAACAAAUGUGUGUCUGAUUAUUGUUCAUCUCAAAGGAGGCCGAAGGGUCAACGAACGUCUUCCAUAUUUCAAUCAUUUAGCUGUUUUAUACCUUUUAAAGAUGCAUUUCCCUGCCUAAAGCCCUCUUCAUAGCAAUGCAGAAAACACUAUGUAGACAAACAAUCACUUUAUUUACACUUAUUGGUUUAGAUUGAGGGCUAAAGUACCUCCUUGGGUCAUUAAAAGCCCCAAAUACCAAGAGACUGACACAAUCUUUUCAGCGGUUGUUGAGUUAAUGUGUUAAUUAUGUGAGCACCGACUGAAGCAAACUCGCCCUCGGAAAAAACAGAUACCCUCCUCCAGUCGGACCUGAAUCACACAUUCAUUCCUGCUUCGUAAUAAUUCCGUAUGUUGUUUCACAACCAAAAAGGGAGAAAAAAAGAUGGCCGAGCGGACCAGCGCGCCCGACCGCAACCGCGAUGGCGGCGGCGGCGGCGCCUCGCGUGAUCCCGUGCCGCUCGUUGUUUUCACAAAGGGCAAAGCUCGGAGGAGGCCCCCCCCUCCCCCCCCCCGACAGAUACACAGCUGUAAUUGGAAGCGUCUGGCGUUGUGUGUCGGCCUACGACCUCAGUGCUUCUGUCUACACGUACAGAGAGAUUCCGACCUGUACACACACUUAAAGUCAAGUCACAGUAUAUCACGACCCACACGUCACAUGUACACUGAUCUAUUGGCUGUGAGAGACCGUGGGAGAAGGCCGGCCUGCCCACAAGCCUCAUCCACAUUUCAUAUGAACGAGGGAGAGAGAGAGAGACAAAAUUGGGUCGAUUCCGGAGUCGAGGAGAAGAAAACGCUUCCGCCGGCGUUUGUGUAGAAGUGUUCCUAUUUGUGUGACAAACAACGUGCGAGUGGAUUUGAUGGAAUGAAUAUUGACUGAAAGGUGGAUUAUUUUAUUACUGUGCCUGAUAAAGCAGCAAAUAUGUUGGUUAUUUCUCUCCAGAAUAACACGUGCAAGCUUUUUCUAACUGGAAGGCACGUUAUUUGUCUGCACCUCGCUGGGUCAUUUAGAGGAGAGGACGCCUCCUAUUGGUUCGUGCGCUGCCGCUUUUCAAACACGCGCCUCUUGGUUUUUUGGUCGUGGCCAUCUUGUUUUUUUAGCAAGCGUUUAGCAAGUUUACCACAUUUAUAUAAUAAAACCCACAGUGAAUGGAGGCACCUGUCGGUAGCAAAGUGGCUUCGCCCUAAAAGAAUAUACCUGCUUUGUGAUCGGGAACCACAAUCUACAUCAAAAGAUCUGUCCACGAAUGUAGAAACGUUGAUAUUAAUAUAUUUCUGGUCCAUAGAUGACUAGAUUAGAUGUAUCCAGGGUUUACAGAAUGUACAAAGCCAAUAGCUGUGGAAGCAUCCAAGACAGCCGCAGUUAACACCGUCAGCCCAUUUCAGAAGUCGCCUGGACUACCUGGAUACAGGAGAGUCCCCCGAACAUCAGACGGGACGGUACCAGGAGGGGCAACAUGGGACACGAGCAGAAUGGGCCAUAAAUCCCACCCGGGGCUCAUGGAGAAGGAGCAGCAGUGAGUGGAGCCGGAGCAAACGGCCAGAUGUGGAGCCGUGCUGCUGAGGAGGCAGACAGAUUUAUGGCCUCUUCUUUAAUGAGGUAACAUCCUUUUCUCUCAUAAGACUUUUCAGAACUUUGGGGGGGUUUUUUUGUUGUUUUUUUUUCUCCCACGUGCAAGAAAAAGUCAUUCGUCUGGACGCAGGUUGAGGACGCAGGGGGGAGAAAAUGUGAAAUUUGACUGUUUGUUCUUACGUCGUAGAAAACAGCAGCUGCCGAAGGGGAGUGAGUGGGAGGACGUGAAAACUGUGUAAUACUUUAAAAUGCAACACGAACAGCUCAAUAGGAUCCACUACAUCUUAUGGGCGUACGUGAAUGAUUUGCAGAUUCCAUCUCAGCAGUUUGUGGGAAAAUUCUGAAUCGCUAUAUUUUCAACUCCAUGCAGACAAAAUAGACAAAUGUGUUGAAAACGAUAACGAAUCAAAUGUAGAGGAAGGAAAGAAAAUCAUGCUACCCGACAACACGCUGGGUGAUAACGUUUCUUCCAUUAUUUCGAUGAGCAGGACAACAAUAAAUAGAUGUUUUAAGCACAUCGCUGGUACGCUCAUGAACAAUAAGAGACACAGGUGGAAACAAUGAGGGCGGGGCUUGCAACCGCAGAGGGCGGCGUCUAAAACACGAGGCAAGGUGACUGACAGGAAGCUACAACAACGACCAUUGUCCGCGUUCCACUCGCACGUUGGAUGGAUAAACAUCGCCCUCGGUCUCCCCUCAAAUCAAAGCCCUCCACUAUUAAAAAAAAAAAAAAGAGCGCCCGGAGCGCCGGUUCGGGGCCCCGCGGCAGAUCGCAUCCUAUAAAACCCGAAGGGCCUCUGCUUGUUUUUUCGCCGAGGCGGUGGGCGGCCAUUUAUGAGCUGCUAACAUGAAUGAAACAAGGUUUUAGAACGGAGUAGGUAACAGAGGAUUUGUGUGAGCCGCGCUCGAGGGCCUCCGGGACGGGAACACUGCCGCAGAUUGUGCUCGGGCUCUGAAUGGCGGAGUCGUCACCCUCUAACUCCUCCGCUCGCCGCGCGGCCUCGUUGUUGAGCAGCGCCUGAAGGACCCAUACGGGAAUGAGGGACCACGCCACCAAUUUCAUGAAUGGGCACCAGGACCCCCCCCCCCACCCCCACCCCUCUCUCAAAACAAAUGGGAGGGAAGAAGAAAACAAGGUGGGUGAACACCGCCGGUCCCAGUGGUCGACCGAAAGCGACAAGAGUCAAAAUUGAAUUUCCGUGGAAGUGAUGUAAUCCGCUGGCCCGGGUCAGACUGAGAUGUUAUUAUCUUAAUUUGAGGUUCAUUAAUCGCCCGGCGAAGCGGGCCGAUGACAAGGUUUCCACCUUGUUCCAGCUGCGUGGAGCUGCCAGCUGAUUUAGGACGGCUCCCUGCCUCGGUAUGUAAACCAUUUGCAGCAGGAAUGUAUAAGCAAGCUGUAAAAAUAGGAUUUGGCCCGAGACGUACAAGACAGAUCGCGCCGUAAAAAAAAAAAGGAGGACGACGCGCCCACCCCCCCCCCCCCGUCUCCGCCGCGGCCUGGCGGGGGCGCGUCGAGCUGUUUUUUGGGGAAGGGGUCGGAUUGUUGGUCGGUUCUCACAAGCUAAGGGAAGCCCGCAGGUUCAGCGUUGGGGAUUUGGCGACGGGCCAUAGAUUUGAAGGAGGAGGAGGACGAGGAGGCGUGUUUAAAGCUGAGGAUGGAUUACGGGCUCCAGAAUGCCGUAAUCCUCCUAAAAAAUAAACCAUACAUAACGUACGACUCUCGUCAGGGAGGAGACACUUUCACAUGCAGGCAGGUAAACACACGCUCGCUUUCACGUCUGCACACGCAAGCAGGCACGUACACGUAAGUGCAGAAGGGAGGUGGGGAGGUGGGGGGGGGGCUCUGCACUAAAUCUGAGUAAGUGGAAAAAAAAAACCCCACCACCUGUUAGCCGAGGGAGCGAAUCAUAAUCCAGAGUGAAAUAAGGCCCUUGUGAACGCAGGGGGGAGAAAUAUUAACGGCGUGAUGCGAGGAAGCAGCCCAGCUUUACCGCUUUCACAUCCAUCAGCAUUCUGCAAUCACAGUCAAUCUCAUUCAAAGAAAAAAAAAGGUAGAAAAAGGUAGCAAAAAAGGUAGACGAGACCGGCGUCAAAUGUAAAGACGCCGUUUGGAGCAGACUGAGCGACUAACGUAACGGCAAACCACCACGCGGUAGGAAGGUUUGGGUCACACGCCACCACCCGAACACCUGAAACACGCCCCGUGCUUUUCACUCAAAUUGUUUACCUAUGAUUUGCAUUUACUUGACUUCUGUCCUUUAAGGGAAGUAAAGGCGUUAAUAAUAAUUCACGUUAAUUAUAACCCGUCCUCGGCGUUGUGUAGGUGGUUUAACGGCGUUUCAUCGGGCUACUCCUGAUGGCUCCUUCACACUACGUUUUGUGUGUGGAGAAGCGGGUUGAGCACAAGCACCUUUGUGCACGCUCGCCAUCUGCGGAGGCUCACGCCGCGGUGCCUGGCGCUGGUAUAAACAAAGCUUUAUUGUCUAAAUAUGGUUUCAAAAGUAUUUUCUCCACUGCCAGGUAUGGAGCCCUGAUGGAGGAAACACUUGUUUUAUAUAUUAGUUUUUCUUUUGCGUGAAAGCGUUCCAAUUUUAUAAUACUGACUCCCAAUACGUGAGAUUGAACCCUGAAAAAGUUUGUUCAUGGAAUGUAAACUCUUCAUUAAAGCCCCGCAAACCUACAAAUAUUACGUGACAAGAGAACAUGACCUCUGUGUCCUCAGCAGCAAAACACACAUGCCGUUUUUUCUAGAUUUGUUUUAAGUCAAAGCUCUUUGAAUUACUAAUAACUUACAAACAGCAAAGAAAAAAUGUGCAAAUAUUCCCCAAACAGCUUUUGCCUAUUACAGCCCAGAGAGACUGGCGGUGAAAAACAAAUGGUAGACCAAACUGACAGGGGGCAAAGUUGAGUUUGGAUUUUAAAGUGCACAGGCACACGCAUGUUUUUGGCUCAAAAAUGUCAAGACUUGAGCAUCCAUCAAAUAUAAUCCACAUUUUACAACCAGAUCUUCACCUUUGCCAUGGGAGGUAUCGGGGGUUUGGACCCCGAUCAAGGGCUGAUUCCCCAAAAGAACUGUGCAGAUUGUGUUUUUAUUUUCCCUUUUGAGACCAAACAACACAAUUGUGUAUUUUCCUGGAUGGCAGAAGCCGAUAUUUCAUUGAAAACACACUGUACUAAGUGGGUGCCAAAUAAGCUACCUGUCACAUGCAGGGACUGCACGGAGGAAGGGUUUCAUUUGGAGAUGUAAUGUUGCGUGCAGUCCUCCGUCUUGUCAGGCUGGAGGAGGUCUGGAGAAAUUCAAGUGUAAAAGUUGGUUAGAAAUGAGCCGGAGACACUGCCGGCCGUUGUUACAGAAGUUCAAACAAUAAAAUGAUGCCUCAGGAAGGUUGUUUGCAUCCAACAAAAAGCGAACGAGAAGAAUCGUUUCCCUUCCUUUUCAAACAGAGGUCUUGCCAGACUUCUGUCUCGACUACAAGGGAGGUGGAACGUAGAAGCAACACGUCAUAAACUCAACAGAAUCUUACUUUUGGACGACAUCUUAAACCUUUCUAGUUAAAUCUACCUCAUGUCGCUGCUUUGCUGCUCUUUCAUUGUAGUCAUUUUAUGACCUGAAUCAGAAUCAGGUCAUUGCCAAGCAGGCCACACAUGCACGAACAGCAAAACAAUAGAAUGACAUCAUGCAAAAUAAAAAAUAUAAACAUCCAAAUAAGUCAAAGAUUAUCUGCAAAAGUAUCGACUUUGUGUUGGUGUGAUGACACAUGUAACCUUCUUAUCCCAAUUGGAAGUCUGAGUAUUCCCACGUCUCGGGGCUUCAAUCGGUGGCGUGAAACUUCAGAGUUGCUCGUCUUGGGUUCUCGGGUCUCCAUGACGGAAUAGUUCAGAUGUCCAAAAUUGCAGCAUCAACAGAACGUUGACGUCACUCAUCUGCAGGUCACGGGGAGAAAGACGGCGGCGGCCGCGACUUAACAAAAAGCUGCUCUGUUGUAACGAGCGACUCCCUCACUUCCCAGCAUGGCCCAUAAUUUGGCCCCCGCUAUUUAGACUGAGAAUAACCGCCGGCAUAAUUCGUUCAGCUCGGCGGCACAGAUGCUUCUCAUGCAAAUGAGGUAAGUGUGUACAUCAAAUUACAGCUUGUCGUCCUCCAUAGCGCCGACGGGCCGGACGCUUCGCAGGAGCCAUCGGACGGACGAGGCGGCACGAGAGGAACGAGGAGAGAGAGCGGCUGAAAAUCUCCACUUUGGGCUCAAUGUGAUUUCUUACUCUCAGAGGCUGCUGCGUGAUUGGAUUACGGCGCAAUUGUGCUCUGCGGGGGCGUAAAUCAAAGUGGUGAUUUUUGCAGAGCGGAGGAUUUCGGAGGAGCUCAACCCGCCGCACAGAAAGUUUCAAUGUGGAUGCCCAGAAACUCAAACACAAAUUCACAUCUUCUUUCUUUCUGUUGUCUACGGACGUGGACAUGCCAUCUAAUGCAUGGCAGAGGUCAUCUGUUAGAAGGCCCCGCCAUAAAAAAGCCCAAGGGGCAUUGGGUGGGCGGGG